UCUCACCUGUUGAAGCGUGAGCUCAGUGA
rnacentral:piRNA from 1 species